UGGGGAAUAUUGGACAAUGGGGGAAACCCUGAUCCAGCCAUGCCGCGUGAGUGAUGAAGGCCUUAGGGUUGUAAAGCUCUUUAGCCAGGGAAGAUAUUGACGGUACCUGGAAAAUAAGCACCGGCUAACUUCGUGCCAGCAGCCGCGGUAAUACGAAGGGUGCUAGCGUUGUUCGGAUUUACUGGGCGUAAAGCGCGCGCAGGCUGCCAUUCAAGUCAGGGGUGAAAUGCCGAAGCUUAACUUCGGAACUGCCUUUGAAACUGUAUGGCUAGAAUAUGGGAGGGGAUAGCGGAAUUGCUAAUGUAGAGGUGAAAUUCGUAGAUAUUAGCAGGAACACCGGUGGCGAAGGCGGCUAUCUGGCCCAUUAUUGACGCUGAGGCGCGAAAGCGUGGGGAUCAAACAG
rnacentral:rRNA from 1 species